AGCAGCUACACGACAAAAAGAAAGGUUUGCUAAACAGAUAUUCACUGAUGAAGAACCAUUGAAGAAGGAAAACUUGGAACUGAGUGGUCGCAUUCAGAUGGCUUUAGAAGAUUCUAAGUUGAACAAAGAGAUUUGCAUCAAUGAAAUAACUCAUCAGAAGAUUAAUAGUUUGGAAGUAUUUUUUGGGGAAAAUGCUAAUGUUGCUGAACCAGAUCCCUGCUUGCAGACAAACCAAGAAUUAUUUAAAGACACUCUAAUAGAAGAGGAAAUUAGUUUCAAUGACAGAAGCAAAAACAAUGGAGUUCUUGGAGGUGUUAAUGAAGUUGAUCAAACUACAGAAAAUAUACUUAGAUACAAUGAAAAUCAGUUGGAAGAACCUUUGAAGGAGGGAGACUAUAAUUUUACACCAGUUGAGAAACUUGCACGAAUUUUGAAUUUAAGGAUGGAGAUGAUUCAGUCAUGUCACUGGACAGUCCAGGUGUAACUGACCAGGGCACUUUCUUCGGUGCUGUUCAACCUGUAGCACGCAUGUCAUGCAUGCAAAGAUGUUCAAGACUAUUACAAUUAUCUCCUGAUGAAAGAGCUACAGAUCAUAGUGACAUGUCUGUUUGUAUUGAUGGAGAACCUUCAGGACAUGUAGAAAAUCUCAAACCUGGGGAAUUGCUCAGAGAUUUUAAUGUCUUCCAGCAGGCACAGUUUACCAGUGGAAUCCAAUGCGAUACAGAACCACCAAGGUUAAACAAGAAUGUGGAUCCUGCAAAAGAUUCUUUUAACGAAAUUCUUGGUAGCCCUGACCUCAUUAUGAAGUUACAUGAUUGUCUAAGGGAUGAGGAUGAGCUUUGGUUUCCUUGUGCUGAACUAAAGGACAACCAUAGAUGUUUACUUCCUGAACAUGAUUCUGGGCCUACACAAUUGAUACAGAAAGAGUCUGGCGAUCAUGUCAGGAGGAAGUUUGUGUUUGUUAAAAAGUCAUGUUCUGUUAAUGCACUUAUUCAGGACAACAGCCUUGAAGAUAUUUCUAAAAAUAAGUUGAACAAGUAUCACAGAUACAGAGCAAAAGAGAUAAUGCCAAGGCGUCUCAAAGUGGGAUAUCAGAAUGGUGAUCCAAAAGAUGACAACACAGGGAAGAGAUUCCAUUCUCUCAGACAUGAAAUGAUGACCACUGAAACUGAUGGAGAAUCUACUGAAGCUCAUUCUGACUAUGUAUCUUCAUUUCUCUGCUGCAAAGAAAUGGAAAAUUCACCUGGAGAGGAAAUCCCUGGAUUAAAGCGCUACAGUUUCAGGCGUUCCACAAUUGAGAGGCAUGCAUUGACUAGGCAGACUAAACAAAAAAAGGCAGGAGGAAUUGAUUCACUUGAAACUAAGGUAUUGAACAUAGAUGGGCAUGAUAAUGAAGGAACUCAAUCACAUACUUAUGCUAGUGAGAAGCUAUGAUAAAGGUACAUAAAAGGUUUUAUGGGACCUUAGUGCCAAGCUUGUCAAAGGCAGCAUUCUCUGAAGAAAGAAACUCAUUUUGGAAAAGAAGAUUACACCAUGAAUUUGGCAAACUUCUACUCUACUCUUGAGCUGUGCAGAAUGCUUUCCAUAAAAAAUGGGCAUUAUAGAAGAGGACGUUGCGAGUCAUGUUCCCUUGUGAUUGUGCAAAUGCUGCCGUUCAGUUUGCGUUAACAUAAAACUAACAAAACUGCAGGUUGAUUAUUGUUGUCGAUGAUUCUCUCUUAUACUUAUUGUAUAGCUUUGUACGGUUGUGCAAUUCUUCUUGUCUGCUUUUCAGUUCUUAAAGUGCGUGUAAAAUAUGAAGCGAGAUAUACAUUUGGCACACUUGUACAUUCCCUUGUAUGAUAUCUUCAAUCGAAA